AUGAAAGUGAAAAGUGAAGUCGCUCAGUCGUGUCCGACUCUGCGACCCGUGGACUGUAGCCCUCCAAGCUCCUCUGUCCAUGGGAUUCUCCAGGCAAGAAUACUGGAGUGGGUUGCCGUGCCCUCCUCCAAGGGAUCUUCCCGACCCAGGGAUCGAACCCAGGUCUCCCACAUUGCAGGCAGACACUUUAACCUCUGCACCACCAGGGAAGCCCUUCCAGUCUGGAAUAGCACCUUACAAAUGAGCUUCCCUGGCUGUCUGGAGUCUUCAAGAAGAAUCCAGAGUCAAGGAGCAGUGCUGAUCUCCUGGACCCCCUACUGCACCCCUGAACUUCCAGAGGCUUGUGGUUAUCAUGUCAAAGUGGGAAGAAUGACUUCUCUGCAAGUGCUUGCUGCUUAUUGUCAACCAGGAGGUCCUGAAGUAGCACUAAAGUCUCAUAAAGUCAGUCAUGAAAACUGGUUGAGGGACUUCCCUGGCGGUCCAGUGGUUGAAACUUUGCCUGCUAAUGCAGGGGGUGUGGGUUUGAUUCCUGGUCGGAGAGCUAAGAUCCCACAUACCUGGUCACCAAAACAAGGAAACACAAAGCAGAAGCAAUAUUGUAACAAAUUCAAUGAAGACUUAAAAAAAAAAAAAAACAGGUUGAGCUGUAAGUUUGAACAUGGACACACAUACACGCCACACACACAUGUUUAUACAUAUGCACACUGCUCUUUAGAUACAGAACACAGCCAUUUUUAUAAAGUAAAUAUAUAAUCUCUCCACCUACAGCAGCAUGGACAAAUUUCACCUUCGUCAUACUGAGCAUUCUAGCAAAGGCAGAGACUUUCACAUCUCCUUUUCAAAAGGAGCUCUUUGGUUUACUUUUUUUCUUUAAUGAUGGUAUAAAACUGGUGGUGAAAUUUAUCACUUAUUUUUAAUUUUCUACAUUCUUUUAAUUUUAAGGGAGUUUUUGAUGUUGACAUUUUACCAGUUUGAGUGAAGCAUGGAAACCUUACUGUCUUUUCCCCUUAUCUAUGCCCAUUUAUAAUUGUCUUAAAUGUUUCCUCUCCACAUAUUGAGGUAUGUCAGACAAUGUUAUCAUUUUUGCUUCGACAAACAAACAUAAUUUUAAAAACUCUAGAAGAAAAGUCAAUUGUAUUUAUCAGUAUUUUUACUCUAUUCAUUAUCCUUCCUUUUUCCUUCCUCAGGUUACAAGAUUCCUCCUUUUACAAAGUUUCAUGGACUUCCCUGGAGGCCCAGUGGUUAAGACUCAGCUUCUAAUGCAGGGGGCACAGGUUCGAUCCCUGGUCUGGGAACUAAGAUCCCACACGCCACUCAGUGCAGCCAAAAAAACCAAAACAAACACCACCUAUCUCCUUUUGUAAGCUUCCUUCUGUUUAAAGAAUUUCCAUUAACUAUCUUUUCAGGUUUAGUCUGAUGUUGACAAAUUCUUUCAGUUUUUCUCCAUGAGAAUGUCUUGAUAUCCUCUUCUACCUGAAGCAUAUUUUCACUAAAUGUAGAAUUCUGGAUUCACAGUUCUUUUCUUUUAAUGCUUCAAAAAUGCUGAGUCACUUCCUUUUGGCCUCCAUGAUUUCUGAUGAGAAAUCUGACAUCAUUCAAAUUGUUUUUACUCUACUUACUUGUAGACAUCACUUCUCUCUCCUCUCUCUCUCUCUCUUUUUUUUUUUUUUUUCUGUCUUUAGCUUUCAGAAGUUGGUUAGGAUCAAUCUUGGCAUGUAUUUCUUUGGGCUUAUCCUGUUUGAGAUUCAACAGCUUCUUGAAUCUAUGGGUUAAUAUCUUCUGCCAAGUUCAGAACACUUUCAGCCGCUAUUUUGUUGAGCUCUUUUUCAGGCUCACACUCCUUCCCUUCUCUGGAAAGACUUGUUAUGAUCUCACAUAUCCCUGAGGUUCUCUUCAUUUUUUUUUUUCUUUCAGUUUAUUUUGUUUCUGUAGUUCUAAUUGGAUAAGUCUUAUUGAUCUCACUUCAAACUCACUGAUUUAUUCUCCUGUCUGCUAUUGAGCCCCUCCAGGGAGUUCUUAUAUUUUAUUAUAUUUCUCAGUUCUAAAAUUUUCUUUUGGCUCUUCUUUAUAGUUUCCAUUUCUUUGCUGAAAUUUCCCACUUUUUCACUUGUCUAAAGCAUGUUCAAAUUUUUUCAUUGCAGCAUUUUUUAUGAUGGACUCUUUAAAACCCCUAUUGGCUAGUUCCAACAUCUGUGUAUCCUGGUCUUGCCAUCUGUUUGACCGUCUUUUCUUAUUCUAGUGGAGACUUUCCUGAUCCGUGGGAGUAGGGAUUCUUUUUCUAAAUUAGUUCCAGACAUCUUGGUUAUUAUGUUACAAAAUCGUGUGUCUUAUUGAAACCUUCAGUUUCAGCAGGUUUGCUCAACACCACACCUCUGGAGGGAGUGGGAUGCUGUCUUUCACUGCCAGGUGGAGUGGGAGCCAAGUUCUCUGCGUGAAGCUGCAGAGGAUGGAGGGCUUUUGAACAGGAUGGUUAGGAUGAAAGCCCUGACUCCUCACUUGACCUUCUCUGACAUCAUUCAGACACAGGGAGGAGGGUGCCUCAUUCCAGCGAGAUGAGGAUGGAAAUUUAGGCUCUCCUUGACAAGGGUGGGGAUGGGGCCUGUUAUUCCUGAGGCAUUUGACUGCUGCUGCUGCUAAGUCGCUUCAGUCAUGUCCGACCCUGUGCGACCCCAUAGACGGCAGCCCACCAGGCUCCUCCGUCCCUGGGAUUCUCCAGACAAGAACACCGGAGUGGGUUGCCAUUUCCUUCUCCAAUGCAGGAAAGUGAAAAGUCCAAGUGAAGUCACUCAGUCACGUCUGACUCUUCACGACCCUAGGGCCAUUAUUGUCUACAAGUUCUCAGUCUUACUAGCCUGCUCCUUUCCUGUCCUUUGGCUAGAAAGAAUGAAUUUUUCUUAGAUUUUUUUUUUUUUUUUGGUCGACAUGGCAUUUCUAGAUUGGUAGCUUCUCCAGGACCCAGUUGAGAAUAUGAGAGACAAAGAAAACCUACGGAAUUCAACACAUAGCAAUCCUUGAGUUCUGAGGUCCCUAACUAUUCUGUUUUCUUUGCUCCAUCUUUCAAAGCUGUCUUUAUUUGUUUUAAAUAUAAUAUCCAAAGUUUUUAAGGAGAUCAAGUCAGUCAGUCCUAAAGGAAAUCAACCCUGAAUAGUCACUGGAAGGGCUGAGGCAGAAGUUAAAGUUCCAAUACUUUGGCCACCUGAUGCAAAGAGCAGACACUGGAAAAGACCCAGCUGCUGGCAAAGAUUGAGGGCAGGAGGAGAAGGAGGCAGCAGAGGGUGAGAUGAUUGGAUGGCAUCUCAUCUCAUCUCAAUGGACAUGAGUUUGAACAAACUCUAGGAGACAGUGAAGGACAGGAAAGCCUGGUGUGCUUCAGUCCAUAGGGUUGCAAAGAAUCAGACACAACUUAGUGACUGAACCACAACAAUUCAAUUUAAUGUAUAUCCUCAUCAGCCCAGUGCCAGUGGGUGGCAAAUAGCAAGUACUCAAUAAAACAAUGAGCUUUUAUUAUUUACAAUGACAUGAAAUAAAUAUCUGCUGGAUAGAUUGUCCCAACCUGUGGGUUAGCAGGCUGUAGCUUCUCUUUUCAAUGUUUUGUGUUUUCCAGUAUAUUCCAGGAGAAGGUAUGUCAAGUCUAUUUCUGAGUUAACCUACACUUGAACCCAAUUUCUCUAUUGAAUGGCACCCUAAGGUCUCAAGCCUCAGUACCAUAGCCAGGUAUUUUUCUGCUGGUCACUACUGCUUGUAUUGUAAUUGUUUCUGGUGGUUGCAGCUCUCCACUACCUCAAGUGUUCACAAAGGUCUCCUUUUUUGCCCCCAAACACUCCAUAUAGCAGGUUUACUGAAAGUUUUAACAUAAGUGAAUGUUAGUACAGAGAAAGUGGAACUUUGAAACUGUAUAUCUGGGGACUUCCCUGGUGCUCCAGUGGUUCCGACUCUGCCUUCCAAUGCAGGGGACAUGGGUUUGAUCCCUGGUCAGGGAACUAAGAUUCCACAUUCUGUGGAGCCACUGAGCCUGGGUGCUAUAACUAGAGAAAGACCAGGUGUUGCAAUGAAGACCCAGCACAGCCAAAAAAAGAAAAAAACCUGUAUAUCAAUCGUUACUACUCCUAAAUCAGCCAUGCUGCAAAAUCUUGUUUUUUUUUGUAUCAACUAACAGCUCUUAAAAGACUCUUUACAGCUUUUACAACCUACAAAGCAAAAGACAAACAUUACAGCUGUAAAUUUUAAAACAAUAUUUUCUCUUUCCCUAAAACCCUAGGAACGGUGUUCCCACAAUACUCUCUGCAACGAAGCAGUAUUAAAACCAUCUUUUAAAAUGAUAUUUUUUUCCUGUGUCUUUCCACCAAGGAUUCAAACAUAUUAAGGCUCUAAUUUAUAUAAAUAACCCUAUGUGAGCAUGCAUGCUCAGUCACUCAGCUGUGUCUGACUCUUUGCAAUCCCAUGACUGUAGCUUGCCAGGCUCCCCUGUCCAUAGCAUUUCCCAGGCAAGAAUAUUGCAGUGGGUUGCCAUUUUCUCCUCCAGGGGAUCUAGGGAUCGAACCCCCAUCUCCUCUAUUGGCAAGAGGAUUCUUUACUACUGAGCCACCUCGGAAGCCCUAUAUUAACUCCACACUCUCCAUAUUAAGAUACAUCUUUUUAUGUGACCAAGAACAUUAACAAAAUAUGAUUUUUUUAAAGUUAAUAAAUUUCAAAAAAUAGAAAUGAUAUAGGCAAAAUUAAUUUUGAAAAUAUUAUUUUACCUAAUAUAAUUAAAUUAGAAAUUAAUAAUAUGACUAUACCAGUAAAUCAUGAACAUUUUAAAAGUUUUUUGGAUUAAAGAGGAAAUUGAAAGUGAAAUUGUAACUGAAUUUCAUAUACGAAAACAUCUGAGAUACAUACAAAAGUAUUAAGUUCUAAUACAUUAAUUUUUUAAAAAGCAAGACUAACAGC
ensembl:lincRNA